rnacentral:snoRNA from 1 species
GCCGAUGAGGAGGGUGGGCACUCCCCGACCGGUGAGGCCUGGGGGGAGGAUCUGAGG